CGAACGGGUGCGUAACACGUGAGCAACCUACCGAAAUGAGGGGGAUAGCCGUCCCAACGGACGGGUAAUACCGCAUACGCUCGAGACCAGGCAUUUGGACUCGAGGAAACCUCCGGGGCAUUUCGAGGGGCUCGCGGCCUAUCAGCUAGUUGGUGAGGUAACGGCUCACCAAGGCGACGACGGGUAGCUGGUCUGAGAGGAUGGCCAGCCACACUGGGACUGAGAUACGGCCCAG
rnacentral:rRNA from 1 species